UUGUCCUUAGUUACCAGCACGUUAUGGUGGGCACUCUAAGGAGGCUGCCGGUGACAACCGGAGGAAGGUGGGGAUGACGUCAAGUCAUCAUGGCCCUUACGGCCUGGGCUACACACGUGCUACAAUGGUCGGUACAAAGGGUUGCCAAGCCGCGAGGUGGAGCUAAUCCCAUAAAACCGAUCGUAGUCCGGAUCGCAGUCUGCAACUCGACUGCGUGAAGUCGGAAUCGCUAGUAAUCGUGAAUCAGAAUGUCACGGUGAAUACGUUCCCGGGCCUU
rnacentral:rRNA from 1 species